UAAAUGGAAAUAGUUAAACAUUUAGUCAUAUCUAAUGGAAUAUUUGAAAUGGAUGAAGUGGAGUGAAAGCUGAUUGCUCAUUUCAAUGUCACUCUCUUUAAUAGGGAACUCAGGUGGUGAGUGGCGACAGUAAUGGGGCCACCAAGAAACAAGGAGACGUCAGCAUGCUGAUUUGAUGACCACAGCAAUGUUGUUUCUUUGCUCUUCAUGCCCUUUGUGAGAUCAAUGUUUCUUAUUUCUUUUGCUUUCUGAAGCACACUUUUUUUGCUGAAUCUAAAUUGGAGGCCUUCUUCACUCAAACACCCUCAAAGAGAUAUUUUUAAAAACUGGAACAAUUUGUGAGUCUCAUGAUGAAACCAAAAACAGUUGCUACAGUCAUGUCUCAGCAAGAGCUCUUCCCUUCCUGCUCCUUCCUGCUCUGCCUUGGCACAGUCUGCUGCAGUCAAGGACCAUCUUAUAUCAGAGUACAGAAUGCUACUGUAUCAAAGGAGCAGUACCAUACCUGCAGAGAGAAAGGCAGCAGAAAAUCAAGGCCAUAACAUGGACGUGUUUGAAAGACUGGGGGUGGAAAUAAAUCACAUCAAAGUCUUCCAAAAGAAAGAACACUGAAUAUUACGGAAUAUACAUUCCAAACAAAGAAGAAAUACCACUCAAA